GUCCAGGGACAGGGUGUCCACCAUCUGCCUGUGUAACCUGUGCCAGUGCCUCACCACCCUGACUGUAAAAAAUGCCUUCCUUAUAGAAUCGUAGGACUUUUUGAGUUGGAAGGGAUCCUUAAAGGGUAUCAAGUCCAACUCCCCAGCAACAAACAGAGAUUAUCUAGAAUUGGCACAGAAAAGAUGUUGGAACUGCCCAGAUCUUUGCAGAGGGGCAAACCUGGCCCUCUGAAAGGGUUGAGCUUAGGGGGUGCCCCAUGGUUUCUGCCUCCUUGUUAUCUAUGACUUGAAAGGAGGAGUGUUCCCUGCAUGAACCCCGUGCUCCUUGUCUAUUUGCAUUGCUGAGAAGUACUUCUUAUCUUUUGGACUUUCAGACCACUGAUUUUAAAGAAAUACUGAAGAGAAAUUAUAGCUGCUGCUGACUGAGAAAAAGAAAUCCACAAAAUGUCAGUCAUGUGAGACACGUCGCUCAAGGUGAAGUGCCUCAGUGUAAAUUCAGCUUGAAGGGAUUUAAUCCUGGGCCUCAGGUAAAUAUUUUAGGUAAAACAAAGUGGACAAAGCUCUGCUGAGCCAGCUGACCUUGAGGAAGGCAGACAGCGUGGUUAUCUGAACUUCACUUAUCUGAACCUCCUGCUAUUUGAUGUGGGAUUACGUUGUCCACCUCAAAAUGGGAGAUGGGAUUCUGUGCUCCUUGACCAACAGAAGGUGCACGACCUGGUGUCCGCAGUUACAUCUCAGGAAGGUAAGUGAACCUCUUGGAGAGAACAAAGUGUUGUAGAAAUGUGAAGAAACAGAGUUUCCCAGAAAUCUAUGAAUCUGGAUGCACACGUGCAGUUAUGAAUGGAAGAGCCACACAGAAGAAAGAAGGUUGGAAUCAUUUUGAGUAGGGAUUGGUGCGGCAGUGUGAUGGCAUCCAGGCACUUACAGAGACUUCUGUGUCUCCAGGGCUUUUCCAAGGUCUUUCUGAGUACUUUCUAACACCAAGACAAGUAUUUUGGGCGUUUUGUGAUCACAUUUUAUCAGUCAGUUCUCAAGAGCUUGCUGGUUCUUCACUCUAUCACAGAAGCUCCCCAUCCCUGUCUCCAUCCCAGUUUUCUAUGGCUCAGUAGAACAACUCCUCCCUUGGUGAACCUGAACCUGGGAGGUGCACCUGUUCCAGCUGAGCUAGGAACUGGGCCAUGGUGAGCCCUCAAACUUGGAGGGUCAGUGCCAUGGCUAGCCAGAGUCUAUCUACAUCACUGCCCUUGAACCAUCACUGUUCCAUCUGUAUUGCCCACUGUGAAGCACCCCUGGGAUGUGCUGUGCCCUCUGCCUUGUUUGGACACUGUUUGGAAGGUUUUAUUUUGGGUUUUAUUUUUUUUUUAAUGAUAUUUUCAGUCCUUUGGGAAAACCAUGAAAAUAUGACCCAAGAGGCCCAUAAGGAAAUUUGUAAUCUGUGUCUUAACAUUUGAUACCAUACAUUCAUUGGAGUCUGGUUUAGAGAGUCCGGAUUUCUGUCACAACCAC
ensembl:lncRNA